AACAUGAUGGCGGAGAUGUGGCGACACCGCUGAAUAUGACGCCUCUGAUUUUGACAUUAAUGGCGCCGCCAAUGGCUCAGACGAUGAAAAUGGAAUCAUUUGCAAAGUGGAGAUGGUGGAGGGAGAUGAGGAGCUCCGCGAGUUCGGGGAGGAAAUGGACGAGGGCCCACGGAUCAAGCACACAUGCCCUGACUGCCCGUUCGAGACAUACGUGCGGUCCAGCAUUGCGCGGCACCGUCGCAUGCAUGCCCGCCGGCCACUGUCGUGCCAUCUGUGUGAUGCGCAUUACCUCGACCAGACAUCCCUUGCAAGACACCUCCGGACUCACGAAGGUGGCCAGCAGGCGCUGCUUCCCUGCCCGCCCGAGUGCGGCACCCACUUCACUCGCCGGGACACCCUUGAGCAGCACAUGAUGAUGCAUGCACAGCCUGAGAAACCUUUCAAGUGUUCUAUCUGCCAGGAAUCAUUCAUGACCUACAAGGAGAUGAUGGCCCACAAAUCGGGCCACGGUCGCAAGGCUCCCUACGUCUGCGAGGUAUGCGGCAAGGGCUACCUGCAGCUGAGCACCCUAGUCGAGCACCGCUUCAGCCACGAGGAAGAACGGCGGUUCCCGUGCGAGCUGUGUGGCAAGCGCUUUUUCUCCUCCAUGGCCCUGAAACGCCAUGGCCGCGUGCACACCGGCGAGCGCCCGUUCCGAUGCCUUACCUGCGGCCUCAACUUUGCCAUCAGGGCCCACCUUCUUGCCCACAAGCGCACGCACACUGGAGAACGACCUUUUCCAUGCCCUUCAGAAACAUGCCCGCAGGCAUUCAGCACUUCAUCGGCUGCUAAGCGGCACUUUCUCAACAUCCACUCCAAGGAUACACAGAAGAAUGCAAAGAACAGCAGAGGACAGCAGGCAUCUGAACAUGGUGGUGAUGGCGAAGGUGGCACCGACGAAGCGGGCGGAACUGAUAAGCCAGCGGUACAGGUACAACACAUUUGCAAGCAGUGCGGAGCCAGCUUUCAGUCCCGAGCAGGCCUGGCAGGCCACGAACGGGCGCACAUUGUGCUGCGGCCAUUCUCGUGUCCCGUCUGUCCGCGCUCUUUUGCAAGUACGGGCGCAGCUUCCAGACACCUCCGCAAGACCCACAACACGACGGCUACAGCCAUACGGCAGUCGGUGGUGCGCUACGAGCCCGUGGGACCGGCUCUGUCUUCGGCUUAGUGCUCAUGACAGAAGUGGCUGCAAGGAAAAGACUGUGUGUUUGCUUGCACCACGUGGGAAAGAGCUUUUCAUUAGCGUGUGAGAAAACUUGGUUGAAUUUGUAUGAAUUUGUUGAAGGAAAGUUUGGUGGAUGAAUUGGCCUGUGGUAUGCAGGUUGACUGUUGUAAACCAGAGGUAUUUCUGAGGCCAUCUCGGGAGACUGGUGUGGAUUAUUUCUGCCCACAUUUUGUUGAGUUGGUGCUCUGGACUGAAUGCCCAAUUGAAAUUUUAGCUAUAUUAAAAAAUUUUACUCGAUAAGCUAUAUAAGGAACUUAUUAUUUAGUGGUACCUAAAAUUGACGGAAAGACGGCCAGAGAAGACGACAUAACAGUCAACUUGAUUAAAGGUGGAGGAGACUUUAUAUUUAAGAAACUUAUGACUGGCCGCUGUGGUGGCACAGUGGUUAUGAUGCCCAGCUGCUGACCCUAAAGACGGGUUCAAUCUUGGCCAAGGCAGUUGCAUUUCGAUAGGGGCAAUAUACUUGAGGCCCGUGUAGUUAAAUUUAGCUGCAUGUUAAAGAACCCCAGGCCCUCAAAAUUUCUGGAGCCCUCCACUAAGGCACGUCUCAUUAUGAUAUCAUGUCUUCGCAUGUAAAACAGCAAGAGUUAUUAUUAUGGAACUUGUGAUUCUCUACACAGAAUGUUUUAAAGGGGCAAUGACACGAAAAUUUUCAGCUGUUUUUUUUGCAUCAAAUGUAAGGUCAAGCCCUCAAGAGCCUAGAAAAUGUACUGGUAGGUGUCAGUGUGCCCUGAAAAAUUAAUUACAACAUGCUCUUAAAAGCUAGUUUCAGUUCCUGCUGUACCCUGAUGUCGCGUCAUGGCAUGAGAUUGUCGUCCUGUGCUCGCGCAACAUAUCGUGACUUUUCCACGAUCGCUGCACACCGUGGCUCCGUUAGCAACACGCAAGCGGCUAUUUUGUAUGUUUUGGUACCUGACAUCAACACAACUAGCCACACCAGAAUUGAUACUGUAGCAUGGCGUCACGCUAGUGUCGAUGUCAAGUAGGUGCGCCAUGCGAAAAUUGACUUUAAAGGGAUACUAAAGGCAAAUAUUAAGUCGACGUUGAUUGUUGAAAUAGCGGUCCAAAAACCUCGUAGUGCUACUUUUAUGCCAAGGAAGUGCUUAUUUUGAAAUAAAAUCACGUUUUAGUGGUCCGCAUUGCAUUAGCGCACUUCAAAUCACCUGCCUGAAAGCGGUAUUUCGCAUGCCACUCUUGCCGUGCCCAACGUUGCCCGCCUUUACUGCGCAGCGACGUGCACUGGCGGCGUGCACCAUUCGGGCAUCCGGUAACAUCACAUGCAUGUGGUAUUUUGUCGAACUUUCUGUCAGAGCGACUUUUAUGAGCGUGCAAAACACGUGCGGCAGUACGCGAUACUGAAACUACCACUGAGACGCGACCGCAUGAGCAAAGCAGGGCGCUGGGCGAAGCACAGUUCGGCGAAAAUGGAACUUUUGAACCACACGCGCUGUUCCCCAUGGCAACGCCAAAGAGGUUUUUUUUUUUUUCCAUGAAUCAAACAGAAACAAACAAGCAGCAUUUUAUUACAUCUCUUGAUGCACGCAAGGUUCUUUUCUUAUUGCAGCUAGUUUGAUUACUAGUGAUUAAUUGUAUUCAGACUCUCACACGUCAUCGGGGUCACUUCGAAAAUGUCCCACUCGUGGCGCUCAUCAUGUGAUACAUUUAGCUUAAUUUCUCGGUAAGUGGGGCACUGCUGUUGAUAAUAUUGCCAUUUUAGACUUUGUCAUACAUUGAGCUUUCACUCUGACAUAAAUUGUUAUUUGCCUUUAGUGUCCCUUUAAUGUCGGAAUAAAAUAUCUUAUCAGCAUUUACUGAGCUUCACACUUGCUCAGAGCUGUCUCAGCCUACGGGAGAUUUUUAUGGCAGAGCAAACUCAGCUUCGAAAAUUGGUGUCAGAACACCUUGAAGACCUAAAAUGUAUCCUUGUGAUGGAAAAAUUCACAGCCACCCUGCUUCUCCUCAAGGAAAGCCAAAAAGUUGUAAUUAAGAAAGGGAUCAAGCAAGAAGAUUUGAUGUGUCCAAUAUAAUUCACUGCAUGCUUUAUAAUGUUUGACUAGGUUUGUAAGAAACAGGAAUAAAGAUUAAUGCUAGAUAUCUCGGCAACUGAAGUUGCUGAGGUGAUGCCAGUAAGAAGCAAAAAAAUGAUUGAAGCUCUUGACUUUGUUGCCAUGAUUUAAAUCAAAAUUUUCGCUUUUUAGAGGGGAAGCUGAAUUCUACCAAUACUAGGAAGCAGAAUUUUUAUGUAAUGCCUCUUUCUUUUUUUUGUAAUUACCACAAAUGAGCAAGUUCCUUAAAGGGGCCCUGCAGCACUUUUUCAGCAUGGUCAGAAAACGCUGCUGAUCGUUAGUCGAUGCUCCUGAGAACACGCGAGCGAAACAUUAUAACGCAGCACGCGGCCUGGAAUUUACAAUUAGUUCUUAAAAUCAGCUAAAGGUCGCUCCCUCUUCUCUCUACAAAUGAUGCCAUAUACCCAAAUUACUGUGCCAUGUACCCGAAGUCCAUGGCUGUUGGCUGAUUUGAGCAUUGUGAGCUGCACAGUUACUGUGGCCACCGCACGAUGCCACCGUGUACGCUUAAGAUAACACUAAAAGUAAGCCGUGCAUUCGAAGAAAAGAAUUAAAAGAAAGUGCUAAGGUCAUGACACGCUCUGACGAAGGGGCGCACCUUCUUGCCCCGUUGUGAUCCCCCUCGCAGCGUAGCUUUCAGUGCACUCACUAGUACAGAAGGAGAGAGAAUGCGCUUGAAGCGUGCGACAAAUCCCUGUAACUACGCUCGUACUUAACGGAUUCUAAACAUUUUUGCGGCAGCCAGUUCAUGAGGCAGUAAGCUCUUUUGAUGAAUCCAUUAGACAGUUAGUAGUGUCUCCCUCCUAACUUCGUAUUUCGCAGCAAAUGUAGCGCAGCUUUUAUAAUUAUAAUCAUACUUGGAAAAGUAUUGCUGGGCCCCUUUAAGAAUAAAAGCAUGAGAGUUCACAAAUUGUAAUUAUGCAUCAGAAACGGAUAGCCCAGUCUUGUAGAUUGCAUCUGUCAAAGACAAAAUGUGGGGCGCGUGUUUGCAGCUUAUAUGAAACUGUUACUGUUGUAAACAAAUUGGUAAAGUGCUGCUCCCAAUUUAGUCGUAUAUACCAGAACAGUUUGUAAGGCAUCAAAAUUGUACAUUUCAGUGAGAAAUAUAGAUGCUUACACGAAUGUCAUACUAUUGCUUGUUUCAGUGUCACGGAACUCUAAACUGAGUUUUUUUUUUUUCAGUCUUGCUUUUUCUAACGAUUUCUAUGACAAUACGGUGGCCAAAAUAAAAAUAUGCCUUUUAUGUUUUUUUUUCUCCUAAAUUCAACAUUCCCCAUGAAAUCUGGUGUAGCAGUUGUCUUGUAAAAACAAUCUCUGCAUUCCCAAGUAUUUAACACAAGAAGUUGAGUUAGAAAGCUUCCUCCAAAAGUGCCCCUCACAAAGUUUUACCACUGCAGGCAAACUAGCACAGUGCAUAUAUCAUGCAGUGGUGAUUGCACUUACUAAGUAUGAAGCAGGUGUGCGGAAUGUAAAGGUAGAAAUUUCAUAUGCGAGGCUGCUCGUUUUUUUUUUUCUCGAAGGAGCCAUGCUUCAAGUGCGAGAAUUCAGUUUGUAUGCUCAAAUUCCUCUACACAUGUUGUGCUACUUGCAGCGUCACUGUUCAUGGCAUGCAGUGUAUCAGAACGGAGCAAAAAAAAAAAUACAUAAACUAUAUUUUUGACCAGAACAAAAACAUCACCGAAACAUUAUCUACUAUUUCGUUCUAAAGCAAAACCGGAAUAUUUUGUAUCGGUUUUCAAUUCAAGGGAAAAGUUAGCAAUCCAGAACAACCAAGGUCAUGUAACGUGAGCAUAAAUAUAUAUUUCAGGAAAGUGCUUAUCUCAGGCAGGCAAUUCAAAGCGAAGAUCUGUUGAAAUUUAACGAAGAACUAAAGUAGUGGCAACUGGAGCUGUUUAUAUUAAUGCAAGUGGUCCUUGGUGUGGCAGUAACGCAGGCCAGUGUGGAGAGGGCAUUCUCAGCACUGAAGUUUGUUUUAUCAGAACAAUGGUCUCGCAUAUCGGAGACUACACUCGAUGACUUGCUGCGUGCUGCGUCUGACCAUCACUGACCAUCACUGAUGUGACUGACCAUCACUGACCAUGGCACAUAGCUGGCUGUCACUGGCCAUGGCAGCUGACUGGCUGUCACUGACUGUGGCACGUGACUUCAGUUAAUUGUCCAAUGUGGACCUUCCAAUGCCAUCACCUGAAAUGCCCAGUGCAGCAAAGAAGGAAGAGGGAAAAAAUAAAGGAGGCAAGGCUCAUCACGUGAAUGUGACGUGGUCCCUUAGCACCGGUAUGGAAGCAGGCAGAGAAUAAAUGCUACUUGAGAAUGCUAAUCGCGCCAAAAGGGGGCACUCACCUUUUAACUCCUUGAUGCUCACCUCUUGGUGGCACGAUAACAGGACAGCUCAGUCCUAUUCGAAAAAUCAUUUCGGUUAACUGCUUCCUAGAUAUGGUGCCUUUACGACUUCCAGCGUACAACUGAAAUUUGCAGUGUCACUUGGUGAGGGGCUCUUUUAUGUUGGUGUACGGUGAGCAUGUGUGAAUGCUCGAGCAACUGUCGGGUGUGUGCAUCUCAGUUAUGCAGUGAUUGCUGUGUCACUAUCCAGUUUUGUUUGACUGAGGCCUGUUUAGUGAAUGGCACGCGUGACAAACGUGAAGGCAAAGACUGUUCAAUAUGUGUGAUCACAGGUCGAACUGUUGUCGGAAUGUAAGAGUAGCAUAUGUAUAAAAGCGUUCUUGUGUUAUGUGGUGUGGAAGUCUUGAAGAUGAAUUGUAGGUAGGGUAAUGCCAAGGAACAAGGUAUUGCAGACAAAGUGUCUGCAAGUGUAUGAAAUAAUGGUGUUCUUAACAUGGGACGUAUUGUGCUUGCAUUUCAAGCAUCAUAUUUUGCAUGGAGGUUCCUCCAUAUCUACACUACUUGAAAUUAUGUUUUAUAUGCUGUCAGAAAUUUUGUUGCAGUUACAGUAGCUUGAGUGUAUCUUCUCAAAAGUGCAGACCAACAAGUGACGAGCUCUGAAUUUCUUUGUCUGCUACUUGUGUAACUGUAGGCAUUGCUAUGACUUGCUUAUUGAACGACAUCAUAAAUGUGCAUAAGUACAGUCAACUUUCAUUAAUUCACUCUUGACGGGGCUGACAGAAUGUUAUCAUCCUGAAGAUGCAGAAAAGAAAGUCCUGCUCCUAUACGUAGCAGUAUUUACCCAGUGGUAAAAUGCCUUAAACCUAAUCCAGUGCAUACCUGAUUUCAUUAAGACGAGUAUGUGGCAGUCAUAAAGUUUUGACACUCUGGAAAAACAUAGGAAAUAUGCAGAGUUUACCUGCUAUGGCCACCAAUGUCGUGAUUGGCAUCAUUCUUGUGGUCAGGCACCUAAGUGCUAAGCAAUUAGGUUUGAAUUAUCUGGGCAGGGACUAAUGUAAGGAAAACCUUGGCCUCUGGAAAGAGCAUGGCCGAUGGUCGGGUAUUUUCAGGGGGUGUCAAAUUAACAUGUGUUGAAUUGAUGAAAGUCUGCUGUAUGAUAUUAUCCCUUUACUAUAACAUAUCAUUACCCUGAUGCAUUCUUUUAGGCUGCUAUAUGCUUGGGUGGCGUGAGCUUUUUUGUUUUUGCUUCGUAUUUCAUAAGCAGGCCAAGUGAUGCAGUUGUGCAGUAUUCAGGUGCAUUGUCAGCAAUGUGCACAUUUGACGACGAGAAUCUAGUCUCUUAACCAGCUUGGGAACAAUUUAUUUUGUGAAUAAGCUGGGGGAAUCUCUCUCUCUCUCUCGCAUUAAAAGCAAAUUUACUAUGUCACGGUUGUGUGUGCGGCAUGUUUUAGCUGUUGUGAAAUUUAUCUACUCUGUUGGACUGAGGCCUCCAUGUUAUGUAUGCAGGACUAGACUAAGUGAGCUUAUACAAUUUCUUGCUAAUUAAAUUCAGUUGUGGUGGAUUCCAUGUCAUUUGAAGCUGCUUCAAGUAAAAGUUAGAAAUUGGUGUAACUAUUAGUCCAACAUGAUGUGAAGUUUAUGGCGUAUUAAGAAGCUUGGCUGUCUCACACCAACAUCACCUAAGAAGCGUUCUCCCACUGCACCUUGUUAUCUUUCUCAGAUUUCUCUUCACAGUGCAUGCUUGAAUGAUUUUGUGCCCGAGAACUUUGAGCCUGCUUCUUCUUAAACUCUUAAGAAAAACUUGAGGAAAUGAAGAGAUAAGCUAGCUUAACACUGUUGUAGCAGAGUUUCAGCAAAUAAUGGGCAAGGUGGGUUAAAUCCAAACAGUGCAACCGGGCAUGCAAGUGGGCAGUGAAGGCUGUUAACAAGAGGCAGGGGGAAAGAAUUUGCGUGCUUUAUUCAAAGAUGGAGAGGACCGUAGUCAGAGGUCUGUCUGCUGAGUUACCUUUCACUUUGUCCUCUGCGACGGAGUUGAUGCAACAUUGCCAAUGUUCAGAGCAAUAGUUCUAUUUUAAAAGGUGUAAGGAAUAUGUUUAAAAUCCGAUAAUAGAAAAAUAAUCGGUGAUGCAUCAAGGUUAAGGAAAAUUGUAGGAGGAAUUAUGACAAGGUGCAUGCUGCGGCUAACUGACUAUGCACUGGGCUGGUUUUUUGACAUUCAUCAAGUUCAUUUGUGGGUGCUGCUGUCACUAAUUCUUUAAAGCAACAUUGUAAUAGGUGUUGCAUGUGCAUGACUGUUUAGUAACUGCAUGUCACUGUAUAGGCUUGCUGUCGGUCAAUUAGACUAUUAAUGGGCAGAUUAGGCCAUUAGCGGUGGUAUCAUGGGCCCUCGGAAUGUAGGUCAUGUUGGUUUCAGUGGGAUGCUGUGCUUUCAUUUUUGGUACUUGCGCUCUUCAAAUAAGAGACAGUAACGAGCCCAAUUAUUUAAGAAAGUGGGUUACUUUAUUGUUUUUCUGUUCUGAUGGCUUCCUCUCAUAUGUAAAAAGAAUGGACUUAGUAGACACAUGUGUGUUGUGUUAGCCACCAAAAUGAUGCAGCGAGUGUAUGACCUUGCAUGCAUCAGUUUCAAACAUGCAAUGCUUGGCACAGCAAUUUUAUCCUUCCUGUAAUAAGGUAUAAGUGAAUCUAUUCAUAAAGUUACUGAUUUGGUAACUUAAAGUGCAUUUGGCUGGUUUUAUUCUAGUGCUGUAGCAAUGGACAUUAUGUUUAUCUCGUGGAAAUUGAGAGCAUGAAACACCUUUGCCUGGCUUAUUCAGGUUUCUCGGAGAUGCCAUCACCUUCGUGCUGAGGGUACGGCUCAGAUCCAAGAGAAUUCCAGUCACGCAGCUCCUUGAUUUGCUCUGGGAAUAGCUGAGCAUUCAUCUCGGACAUCGCUAGCUUUACAUCAUUGCAAAUCAAUUACUAAUACCCUACUGACACAGAGAACACAUUGACAUUGCACAGCUGUAACUAUGCUCUCUGCUAAUUUACAGAAUGACCCUUAAUAACUCUUGAAAUUGGUUGACGAAUGCACGCACAAGGAUGCAAUGUAGGCUGGAGUUUGAAUGAAAGGAAUCGAGAAGCUCAGUUUUUUUGGUUGUUCACAGCCAUAGUAAGCCAACAACAUUUGUAAGUUAUUUUGUCUGCACUAAGACUUGAGAUACAGAAGCUUACUACCACUGGUUUUAGGUAACACUGAUGGCCAAAGUUCUCUGGAAUAUUGUAUAGACAAUUAGUCUCUUGUGCUGAGGCAAGAAUUCUAAAAAUAAAGGAAUCGUGGAAAGGCAGUAGACUUUUUAUCAAUGUGCUAAAUUGAUAGGACGCUUUAGUGAUGUGUAGCUGUGAUUAAAAACUUAAAUGUUAAGAGAUCUCUUAGCUUGAAUUCUAGGCUUGUGCGAAUAUUCGAGCAGUUCGAAUAUUCGAACUAAUAUUACAGUAUUCGAAUUUGCUUCGAAACGAACGAAUAAACACAUAAACCGCGUUAACCCCCUGUAAAAGAGGUUGCACGGAAGUGCAGGGGUGCUCUACCGUGAAUACACCUCUCCAGGGGAAAUCCACACUGCCGCAAAGCCCCACUUCAAGGUUGAAUGAUCUAAGUACCCUCACAUCGAUUAAUCAUUUUUUAGGUUUAAAAGCUCGUUAUACCGGCUUAUAUGCUCUAAGUAAAAUGUGUUAAGUAAAAUGCGUUACAUUUUAAAAUGCAACACAUUUUACAGGUUAUCACUUGCAUUCUACCGAGAGUCAAAUCCUGCUACUAUUCAAAGUUGCUUCCACUUUCCUUUGAACCAAAAAGAAUGACAUUUGCACGUGCCUUAUUUCAGUAUUCAAAAUAUUGUGCAGGUUAGUUGGGUCAUCACAAAUACGCUCAUUUUUCUUUACAAUAUGUGAUAUAUACUAUUCGAAUUCGAUCCAAAUCACUAUUCGCUUCGAACCUAAAAUUUACUAUUCACACAAGCCUAUUGAAUUCAUUUGACUUUAUGUGGUAUAUGUUCAAGCGUGUUGCUGCUCAAAGUUGCUUGGCACUCCUCACAACAUACCUUGGUCUCCCUACCCAGCUUAUUCUCUGGCUUGUUCACAAGACCAUGCAUGUACGCACUACACACUUCUGCAUUGGCAUGGCUUGUUAAGGCGCAAGCAAUGUAACUUUGGGAUGGAAAAAUUAAAUAUACACCUGUUACUGCCAUUUCUAAUCAAUGCUGGCAGCCCUCUUUAUUUGUCAGAUGGAUGUUUUUUUUUUCUAUCUGAUAAAUAAGUGAGAGGACGUGAGGUAUCCUGACAAGUGCAAUUUUUAACGCACACGGCACACAUGGUAGAUGAUGAUUACUGUUUUGUGGCAAAAGUAAACCCCAAAAGGAAAUGGUGCAACUAUUUUUAGGGUGUCAUAGUGUAAGGGUUGUGAAGGAGGCCAGUGCCUGCACUUGGCACCAGUUCUGACCUUUAACUCGCCUGUUGUGACUCUCUUUAAUACCUGUGACAGGUGAUGAAAAAGAAAUUAUUGCUUGAUGUUUCACCAGGCCUUUACAAGUUCAAUAAGAGCUUUUUUUUUUUUUUUGUCAUCUGCCAUUUCACAAGAAUAGACUGCAGCUAGUCAGCUAUGCCUUGUUUUUAUGUUGCGAACAUGAGCUCUGUAAAAGUGAUUGGUCUACUCUUGUUUUCCUAGCUUGGCUACGUUAAAGGGGCACUAAAGAGAAAAACCAUUUUUCUUUUAUGAGUAAUUAACAAUUUCGCAAUACUUAAAACACUGCUCUUUCCGUGACAUGACACUUGGUAAGCGAGAAAAUGCGUGAAAAGAAAGUGCAGGUUGCAACACAGCCGUGAAGUUCCCGCAACAGCUUGCUGUGACGUCAUAAAUUUUAACCGCAUCUGCUGGGGCCUACAUAAUUGUUUGUUGCUAAAACCAUUUACAUUGUGUUCUAAGGGACACAAAGCCUUACCAUAGCAAGUUUCACAAAAUUUCGUUGAUUCAGUAUGGCCAAAAUACGCAAUAAAGACUGAAAUUUGCCACUUCACACUUACGUUAACAUGCUGACACUUCGGCACGAAAGUCAGACAUGAAGCUUUGACCUUCAUUUCUUCUUUUAAUAAUUAACCUGUGAUGGCAAAAUUAAUGACAGUAGAGGUACGAAAGAGUAAUCUAUCUGUCUAAACUGAUUUAAUGUUUCACUUUAGUGUCCCAUAAACCAGUAAAGUGCUCAUAGAUGUCACCACUCUAUAUAAUUUAAGCACUUGAAGGAUGUUUCAGUAGUCAUAUUUUGCUGUUGUCUGUACACUUGUUACCUUUGUUUGCGAACAACGAACAGUUUGCUUGGUUACCGCUAUUAGCAGCUCAAUACAUUUAUAUAAGCUCAGUAACUUAUUACUAGCUUAUGCGACGGUGGUUAUUGUGUAAACUACAGUACACUGAUUUUUUUCCUUGGAAGCAUUAAGAAGGUUUUGCUCUUGUUGAAAAUUUGCUUUUGCUCAAGCUUCCUAGCAUGAUUGCACUUUACAAUUUAAAUUGUUCAAUAUAACAUAUGGCACCUGAAGCAUAUAGGUUUUCCAUUUUGCCAAGAAGGGAGUGGAAGGUGUAGAACAUUCCUCUGCCACCCCCUUCUGUAACUGACAUCUCUGCUUUAUACUUUUACUUGCCUGGUUUGUCAAGAGCAGAAAUGUUGCCUUCACCUGCAGCUCUCGAGGUAACCAAUGUCCAAACAUGGCAGCUGUUACGCUACCUUGUCCCCUCAUUGUGUGCAUCACAACGAAGCAUGGCCUUCGUAAUUCUACUGGGGCUACAAUGUGGACGCCGAGAAUGGGGCACACGAAAGAAAAAUUCCAAAUUUUUCAUUUGAAAAGCUCGGCAAGUGCUAAUGCCAAGUUUGAUGCAAUGAGCAAUGCACAAUAUAACAUGUGACUGCUGUGAAGUUUGAGCAGAUCGUUUUCAACUGCUUAUAAAAAAGAAACAUAGGUCACGUUAUGCAUAGCAAAGCCCUUGCACUACUGUAGCCAAGACUUUAUUUCAUAGUGCACUUCCAUCUUUCUGGUGACCUGUUUCAAUUUCUUAGGGUUUUCUCAUGAAAUAGUAAAACUCCUAUGAGUGUUAUGAAACUGGAAUAUCCCUCAUGGCUGUAUUCCUGUCCCUCUUAUGUGCCGAGUUAUUUAUUCAUUUUUCAAAGUGUUGCUUGCAGGUACAUCUGUAUGUAUAAGGACAUUUUGUUUUAAUCAGAAAAGAAUCACUCAUAAAAUCUGACUUUCUUGUCA